UGCAUAUACAGAUAGAUAUUCCCAAUCUCUUGUCGAGCGUCGCCUGGUCUGCUCUCAAGCAUCGAAGGAAGAAGAUGAACUGGAUCAGCCGAAAGAUGCAUCUCUACAACGUAACCAUGGGCCUCUACAUGCUCGACUGGUGGGAGCGCUGCCUCUUCAAUGUAUUGUUGCUUACUUUGCUUUGGUUUAUCUGCUACAAUGGAUCUCGAUUUGCCACGGAGUUUUACGAAGGUGGCCAUCUGAAGUAUAAACUUUUGGUCGACGGAAGGCUUCCAAAUGGAUGGAGCAUACCAUCCUAA